AAGCGUACACGGUGGAUGCCCUGGCAGUCAGAGGCGAUGAAGGACGUGCUAAUCUGCGAUAAGCGUCGGUAAGGUGAUAUGAACCGUUAUAACCGGCGAUUUCCGAAUGGGGAAACCCAGUGUGAUUCGUCACACUAUCAUUAACUGAAUCCAUAGGUUAAUGAGGCGAACCGGGGGAACUGAAACAUCUAAGUACCCCGAGGAAAAGAAAUCAACCGAGAUUCCCCCAGUAGCGGCGAGCGAACGGGGAGCAGC
rnacentral:rRNA from 1 species